rnacentral:lncRNA from 1 species
CAAAAAGUAAUACAUUAACAUUUGUGAAUUUCAUGAUGGAUAUCAUUUGUACUAAAAUAUACAGGAAUCAUACAGGGACGGAUUCAGACAUUUGGUGCAUGUGGGGGCUAAAAUCUAGCUAAGUUGCUAACACUUGCAUUUGCUAUCGACAAAAGCAAAACCAACUUCAAAAGCUUACAAAUCAUAGCAAAUGUGUUGCACUUAUUUGUUUUCACAAGUUUUGCACAAGGUUGUUGACUUAUUGGUCUUAUUCUAAACAUAUUAUGUUUUAUUUAUAAGGGGUAAUAAUUAUUUUGGUCCCUGAAGGUGUAAGGAGUAACAAUAAUAGUCCCUCAAUGUAUCAAAAUUUUAAAAUAGUCAUUGAUUAUGCACUUUGCUAGUCAAAAUAGUCCCGAUAACAUUAAAAUAAUUUGUUAAUAUUGUCAUAUUAGUCUUUUAAU